rnacentral:rRNA from 1 species
CCAGACUCCUACGGGAGGCAGCAGUGGGGGAUAUUGCACAAUGGGGGGAACCCUGAUGCAGCGACGCCGCGUGGGUGAAGAAGCGCCUCGGCGCGUAAAGCCCUGUCAGCAGGGAAGAAAAUGACGGUACCUGAAGAAGAAGCCCCGGCUAACUACGUGCCAGCAGCCGCGGUAAUACGUAGGGGGCAAGCGUUAUCCGGAUUUAUUGGGUUUAAAGGGUGCGUAGGCGGAUCGUUAAGUCAGUGGUCAAAUGGGGGGGCGCACCCCCUCCCCGCCAUUGAAACUGGCGCUCUUGAGUGGAAGAGAAGUAUGCGGAAUGCGUGGUGUAGCGGUGAAAUGCAUAGAUAUCACGCAGAACCCCGAUUGCGAAGGCAGCAUGCCGGCUUCCGACUGACGCUGAAGCACGAAAGCGUGGGGAUCGAACAGGAUUAGAUACCCUCGUAGA